CCUACGGGAGGCAGCAGUGAGGAAUAUUGGUCAAUGGACAAAAGUCUGAAGCAGCGAAGCAGCGUGAAGGAUGAAUGUCUUAUGGUCGGUAAACUCUGUUUACAUGGGAGUGAAGUGUUUCUCGUGAGGGAUUUUGUAUGUACCAUAUGAGUAAGGAUCGGAUAACUCCGUGCCAGCAGCCGCGGUAAGACGGAGGAUCCGAGCGUUAUACGGAUUUAUUGGGUGUAAAGGGAGCGUAGGUGGAUUGUUAAGUCAGUUGUGAAAGUUUGCGGCUCAACCGUAAAAUUGCAGUUGAAACUGGCAGUCUUGAGUACAGUAGAGGUGGGCGGAAUUCGAGGUGUAGCAGUGAAAUGCUUAGAUAUCACGAAGAACUUCGAUGGCGAAGGCAGUUCACUGGACUGCAACUGACACUGAGGCUCGAAAGUGUGGGUAUCAAACAGGAUUAGAUACCCUUGUAGUC
rnacentral:rRNA from 1 species